rnacentral:sRNA from 1 species
GUUUAGCCCUGAUUGCAGCGGCAUCCUUUUUAUGCUGAACUCGUUUCAGUAUCUUUUUUUUAAAAUCAAUUCUUUUUCCUUGUAACAGAUGCUGAAAUAAAUUCAGCAUAAAUAAAAAGAUAUAGCGAAAAGCAGGAAAUAGC